GAUCGGUUUCUUUCUUUUCUUUCCUUUCGUUUACCUCUAAUUUCCGGUGUUCCCGGUCUUCACCGAUCGUGCAUGUCUUUAGACUUCCACAGUCAUCCUCCCAUUGACACGUAUGUUUUUUACGUGUCCAUCUUCUUUCUCCAUCCUUCUUUCAACCGCUUUUCUUUUUCGUAAAUUCCUCUCUUCCUCAAUUUCCGAGUCCAUACCUAGCUUACAGGUUUGUGUCGGAGAGUCCGCCGUUUCUUCCUUCAUCAUGUUCUUCUUCUUCCUCAUUCGGAUUUCCUUGCCUCUGUUUUGCCAGGUCUCAGAAUGAGAAGGGAUGGCGGGGCGAGGCCGCCGCCUCUGCAUUUGCUUCUGUCGCGACGCCAUGGGCUGGAGGACUUAACUUCUAUCCAUGCUCAGAUGUCGUUCUUGCCAUUGCCUGCGCGGUCUGUGCCACCGCUUCCUUCAUCCGUGCCCUUGCAUCCGUCUUCGUCGCUGUGUAGCUGGCCUAGCCUCGAUGAGCUGUCUUUUGGGUCGACGGGCCAUUGCUCAUCGUAUUCCCGCGGGCGUGCCCCAGGCUUCUAUGCCGCCGCUGGUGUUGUUGGCAUCCCAGUUGUUGAUUCGGUUGUUGCUGCUGCCUCUGGUGCCUCCGAUCACCUGCCGUCUCGGGUUUUCCUCUUGGUUGCUACUGAUUCUCUGGCUGUUCCUCGGCCUGGUGCGGGUGUACACCGGGGAUCUGGUUGUUCGUGUGGGCGAUCACUUUCCGCUUCAGUUCAUCCACCUCUACGCCGGCAGCUUCAUCUGCAAGGUGUUGCUCCCGCUGCCGCUGUUGGCCGUGGUCCUUUUUUGCCAGCUGUGUGUGUUCCUUUCUGUCUGCUGCCUCUCGUGUUCCUCUGCUGAUUGCUGGCUCUAUCCACCCUUCUUCGCCUGUGCGUGGUCAGACUGCUGAUUCUUCGUGCUCUUGGCCGGGGUGGACCUGUCGUUCAUCGUUCCAUUGCCUCCUCAACUUUGUCCGCUGUUGCUUCUUCCAGUUUCAGAAUUUUUAACUUAGAGAUGGGUGGAGCAAAUCAAAGAGAUGGGAUGUUAAUGUUGGCAUUAUUCAGAUGCACCCGGGUGGUUCUUCCUUAUCCUUUAUUGGCGUCCCUUUCUGGGGCGAGUUCCUCUAAUCCUGGCCUUUACAUGGACUCUUCUGACGAUGAAUCUCCUGCUGGGUUGUUGUGUCCACCUGCUGAUUCGCUCGGUGGUGAGGGUGGCCUGCCUGCCUCACGCCGCUGGACUCCUCUUCCACCCAUUCAUUCUGACGGUUUCGAACUUUCAAUCAUAUUGGUAUAGGAUCUCGCAGUUCGCGUCCAGGUACGGAUUGUUCAUUGUUUUGCUUUUUGUCUAUUCUUGCGAACCUCACUAUGCAGAGUUCAACGCCUCCAGUAUCUAUUCCACCGGUGAGGCCUGCUGCUUCUUCUCUCUUCAUCACUGUCUCUCAGUCAGUUCUUUGCGGUUUUCCUACGAAUUUAGGUUUCUCUUUUUUCCUUGGAUUUAGCCUUAUAUUUCUUCUUUGGUUUGGUUUCACUCCCUUGCUUACUGUCUGAUCCUUGCUGUUUAUUAUAUUCCUGAUUGUUUACACUUAUUUGCUUACUUACAUCUGUCCAAUACCCUGCACUUUACUGUACAUUCAUCAUGGCUACUGAUUUUUCAGAUUUCUAUAUGUUCAUCAUGGGUGUCAAUGUUUACUAAUCAUCCUAUCUUGCAGGAAAUUUGCAGUAGUAGCAAUGCAGGCAACCUCGGUCAGAGAUAUCAAACCUCGAGGAUCUCCGAGGCGUGCUGUUGUGCGCAUCACACGGAUGUGGGACAAUAUGAACAAACAGCAUGAGCGCUAUGAGAUAGGCUUCAUGUUCGUUCAUCAUUUGUAAGUCUUAGUCACGGACAACAUGUCCCAUCAAAUGUACAUUUACACGGAUAGAAGUUUCUCUACUCUCGGACCGGAUAGACCAAUUUAAAGAUGAACUAAAGGAAGGCAUACUUUACAAGCUGGAGUCGUUUAUGAUCGUUGGCCCCCGGAAGAACUAUAGAGCAGGAGAUCACUAUUAUAGGAUUCGGAUUUCACAGAACACAAAAGUACAAGCUGAAGGUUAGCGUAACAGAUGUGGAACCAAACGCUGACAAUGUGCCCGUCACUGGCCACUUGACAUUCCUCGGCGAGAGUGGCGAGGCUCUCGCAGGAAAAGAGGCAGAUCUUCUUGCUCCACUCACUAAAUGCCGUCCUAAUUAUGUCCGCGCUGCUAUUAGUGCCACAGUUGGCAAGAAGUGCACUAUCAUCGCCGAGGUAGACCAGGAGACCUACGAUGCUGAUCCUCGGAUAGUGUUUCUUACCGUCUCGAAGGCCCGGCUAAUCACUAACACAGUGCCUCAGAUCUUCUACCGACACUAGCCUUGCAAUAGCUGAUAAGACGAUCGCUCCAGCCGAUGACCUCGAAGGCACACAGGGCCACCUCCCAGAAGGCUCCAGCUCACAGACAACGCCUUCGAAGGAUAUAACUGGACCAGCCGAUGAUGACGAACCAGAGGACAUAGGUAAGGCAAUCAAACAUAAGAAGUGGAAGAACACCAACGACAAGAAAUAAGGACCUGCCAUCUGCCAAGGCAUUAUUCAAAGGGAAGAAGUAGCAUUAGCCUUGCCAGGCUGUCAUCACAGGACAAGGCUAGGACAAGCGCAUCGUCAAGGAAAUCAAGCAAGUAAACCAACCACCCAGCUGCAAAUAAAGCUUCUCAUCAACCUGUCAGCUUAUGCUAUUAGGUCUAUCUUAACUAAUAGUAUCCUAGGUGAAUAGCCUUGCAGUCUCCUAAGAUUGCAUACCCAAAACUCAAUGUGUGAGUGUUUGCUCUUCAAAUCUCAAGUAUGAUUAUCUAUGUACAGUUAUCCAAUAUGCAUACCUUUAAUUAUCCACUACUAUAUGUACCCUGAGACUUAAUAAAGCACCACUGUUCUAACUA